rnacentral:lncRNA from 10 species
AUGUACUUCCCCUGGGCCAAGUGUUAAGUCCAACUUUAAGCCCAAUCAAUGAAACUCCAAAAUGUACCAAGGUCAGAUGAUCUAAAUAGUAAAAGGGUACUUGUGGGCAGGAGCUGAGCCAGAAAUGAGGGGAGUGAAGAACGGUUUCGGAAGAGGUGAAAUAUGAAGUAUAUUGCCUGUGUUGGGGAAGUGACUGGUUCUAUGAUGGCCUCUGAGAAAACACACUAAUGAGAAGCACGAAAGAGCAAGCAUUUGCACAUACGCCAUCACUGGAUUACCAAAGAACCAACCAAGUUUUUCUGAUCGCCUAUAUUUAUGUAUGUUUUUAAAUUCUCCUUUGGAUACGUUACACCGUCUUGCUGAUUCUCUCUUUAAUUAACUAAAUAAAUCUUUGGCAUGUGUUAAAAAAAAAGAGAAAGAAAUGGAGAAAGGACUCCAUAUUUCAUAAAUAGUGCUGGGAUAACUGCCUAGCUAUAGGCAGAAAACUGAAACUGGACCCCUUCCUUAUACCAUAUACAAAAAUUAACUCAAGAUGGAUUAAAGACUCAAAUGUAAAACCGAAAACUAUAAAAACCCUAGAAGAAAAUCAAGGCAAUACCAUUCACGACAGAGGCAUUGGCAAAGAUUUCAUGAUGAAAAUGCCAAAAGCAACUGCAACAAAAGCAAAAAUUGACAAAUGGGAUCUAAUUAAACUAAAGAGCUUCUGUACAGCAAAAACAAAAAACAAAAACAAAGACAAACAAAAAAAAACUGUCAGCAGAAUGAACAGACAACUUACAGAAUGGGAGAAGAUUUUUGCAAUAUAUCUAUCUGACAAAGGUAAUAUCCAGAGGCUACAAGGAACUUAAACAAAUUUACAAGAAAAAAAGCACAUUAAAAAGUGGGCAAAGGACAUGAACAGACACUUUUCAAAAGACAUACAUGCGGCCAACAAACAUAAAAAAAAAAUCUCAACAUCACUGAUCAUUAGAGAAAUGCAAAUCAAAACCACAAUGAGAUACCAUCUCACACCAUGGAGAAAGGCUAUUAUUAAAAAGUCAAAAAACAACAGAUGCUGGUGAGGUUGUGGAGAAAAAGGAAUGUUUUACACUGUUGGUGGGAAUGUAAAUUAGUUCAACCACUGUGGAAGACAGUGUGGCAAUUCCUCAAAGACCUAGAGGCAGAAAUACCAUUUGACCCACUGAUCCCAUUACUGGGCAUAUACCCAAAAGAAUAUCUUUCCAUUGUAGAAAUACAUGCAUGCAUAUGUCCAUCACAGCACUAUGCACCUAAGACAUGGAAUCAAUCUAAAUGCCCAUAAAUGACAGACUGGAUAAAGAAAAUGUUGCACAUUUACACCAUGGAAUACUACGCAGUCAUAAAAAGGAAUGAGAUCACGUCCUUUGCAGGGACAUGGAUAGAACUGGAAGCCAUUAAACUAAUGUAGGAACAGAAAACCAAACAUGUUCUCACUUACAACUGGGAGCUGAAUGAUGCAAACACACGGACACAAGGAAGGGGGAACAACACACACUGGGGCCUGUCGGGGGUGUGGGGGAGGGAAAGCAUCAGGAAGAAUAGCUAAUGGAUGCUGGCUUAAUACCCAGGUGAUGGUAUGAUCUGUGCAGCAAAACACCAUGGCACACAUUUACCUAUGUAAACAAACCUGCACGUUCUGCACAUGUACCCCUGAGCUUAAAAUAAAAGUUAAAGAAAAAAUAAAUAAAUAAAUAAAUUUAGGUCUGAGACGGGGGUACAAUUUUAUUCUUUUCUAUGUGGACAUACAGUUGCCUCAGCACCAUGAUGAAUUUCUUGAAAAGUGAGGUUGACAUAAUUGGAAAGCCAUCUGGAAAAUAACAAAAUUAGAUUUCAUUACUCCUAUCUUAAACCAAGUUUCAAAAUGGAUCUGAGAUUCAAAUGUAAGAAAAUUAACCCAUACAGUGCUGGAGGCAAGGAUAGCUGAAUUCCUCUAAAAUGUAGCAGUGAGGAAAACUCUAUUAAAUUCCAGAAACUAUUAAAGAAAAAACGGAUCAAUCUGCUUAUAUAAAAACUUUUAAAACUUUCGCACAGAAAAAUACUAAAAGUAAACAGUGAAAAACUGAAAAUAUAUUUUUGCAGCUUAAAUACACAGAGUUAAUAUCCCAAUUAUCCACAAAAAAGCUUCUUAAAAGUAGAGAAGAAAAAGGCCAACAGCCUUGUUUAAAAAUGGGGAGGGGGCAGGGGGAGAGGAACAAGCAAUUUAUGGAAAAAAUGCAAAUGGCUCUUAAACAUACAAAUAUGCUACUGAGAGGGAUUUAAAUGAAAACUACGUGGAACAUAUUCAUCAUGAAUCUUGAUUAUGGUGUUGGUUUCACGGGUCUGUGUCCAAACUCAAAACACUUUAAAGAUGCACUUUAUUGCACCAAGUGUACCUCGAUAAAGCUCUAAGGAAAAAAACACACACUUAGAUACCAUAUAUUGUUUUUCAGAUUGGCAAAAAUCCCAGUCUUUCUUGAUCCUUUGUCAGUGAGGCUAUGAGAGGUAGAAGCACUCUCAUACUCUGCUGGUCAAAUGCAGAAUCCUCAAUGAAGGAGAGUCAGGCAAUAUCUAGAAAAAUUAAAAUUCAUCUACGACCAAAUAAAUACCAUAAUCACACUGAGGAGGAAAGGGUACUAAUCCAAGUAAAUUUGAAGUGCAAUACUUCAACUAUAUACUCUGUCUAAAAAGGAGAACCAUGAAGAAAUACUAAAUGUCACUUAGAUUUGUUGUUGACAGUGGCAUGGGUAUAGCAAUUCUGAAACUGUUUAGCACAUAUUAACCAAAUAGAAGCCAGGUUUCUCGCAGGGAAGAAGGGAGAUAGGAAUAAGGCAUUGGGGAAGGCAAUGAACCCUGGCAACUCACUUGGGAGUUAGAGUGUUGGCAUGAAUUUGGAUUAAGAGACCAGAAGAACUUCUAAAGAAGUGGUAAUUUCUAUUUCUUAACCUGAAGAAAGAUACUCAAACUGGAACUGUAUUUUUUAUAAACUUUUCUCUAUAUAUUUAUUUCACAAUAAAUUUUUAAAAUUAAGGGCAAAUGAAAAAUAUUUUCAAGGGUAACAUCCAAGAUGUUUUUAUUAUUUUCUAGUAGAAGCUUUAAAUGGAAAAAUCCUUUUGGAUUUUUAUAUUACGCAAAUUCCCAGUUGGUACUGUUUUCACAAACACACUAGUGUAUUUUGACAUUCAUUCUUUUUUUCAGUAGUAGCAUAAAGACUUACUACAUUUAGGUAGAUAUAGUGGCUCAUGCCUAUAAUCCCAACACUUUGGGAGGCUGAGGUGGGAGGAUCACUUGAGCUCAGGAGUUCAAGACUAGCCUGAGCAACAGAGGAGACUGUAUCUCUACAAAAAAUAAAAAAAAAUAAAAAAAUUAGCCAGGUGUGGUAGCAUGUGCCUAUAGUCCUAGCUACUUGGGAGGCUGAAGUGAGAUUACUUGAGUCUAGGAGAUUGAGGCUGCAGUGAGCCAUGAUCAAACCACUGCACUCCAGACUGGAAGAGAGAGCAAGACCCUAUCUCAAAAAACAAAACGCCAUUCAUCAUUACUUUUAAGAAAAUUUUCCUUCUUUUGGCAAGAAACAUUAUUUUCAUGUUUAAGUUUCCAGUAUAAGGCUUUUCCUAAUCUUCCUAAAUUUGAGGUUAAGAACCAGAUUGGUGCAGAAGACUCAAUUACCUCCUUCAAUCAUAUAGGAAAAGGAAAGCGCACUGCAGAAUCAUUGUGAAAGCUGGAUGAAAUGAUGAGAAUACUGGAAAAAUGUUUUUUCUAAAUUUUAAAUCUAUGUUGAUGGGCAUACAAUGCACAGAGACAUAUUCUGUAAGAGAAAAACAGCACAAAGUGGGAGACAAAGCUCUAUAGAAGCAAAGUUUACAUGUACUACUGACAUUAAAUUGGUAUUUAAUGUCCAAAUAAUCCAAACUAGAUUGUUUUAAAUUAAAAUGUUAAUUGUAGGCUGGGCAGUAUGGCUCAUACCUGUAAUCCCAGCACUUUGGGAGGCUGAGGCGGGCAGGUCACUUGAGGCCAGAAGUUCAAGACCAGCAUGACCAACAUGGCAAAACCCUGUCUCUACUAAAAAUACAAAAAAUUAGCUGAGUGUGGUGGUGCAUUCCUAUAAUCCCAGCUACUUAGGAGGAUGAGGUAUGAGAAUCGCCUGAACCUCGGAGGCAGAGGUUGCAGUGAGUUGAGAUCGUGCCACUGCACUCCAGCCUGGGUGACAGUGCAAGACUCUUGUCUCGAAAAAUAACAUAACGUAACGUAACGUAACAUAACACAACAUAACAUAUCACAUAACAUCAGAUCACAACAUAACAUAAAAUGUUAAUUAUAAUCCCCAGGGUAACCAUUAAGAAAACAAUGUUUUAAAAUAGAGAGGGCCAGGCAUGGUGGCUCAUGUCUGUAAUUCCAGCACUUUGGGAGGCCGAGGCAGGCGGAUCACAAGGUCAGGAGUUCGAGACCAGCCUGACCAACAUGGUGAAACCCCGUCUCUACUAAAAAUAAAAAAAUAAAAAUUAGCCAGGCAUGGUGGUGGACACCUGUAAUCCCAGCUACUCAGGAGGCUGAGGCAGGAGGUGGAGGUUGCAGUGAGCCGAGAUCGUGCCACUGCACUCCCGGCUGGGUGACAGAGUGAGACUCCGUCUCAAAAAACAAAUAAAUAAAAUAGUAAGAGAAAGAAAAAAGAACUGAAAUGGUACACCAGAACAUAUCUACUUAACACAAAAGGCAGUAAUGGAAGAAGUGAGAAACAAAAAAAGACAUGACAUACAGAAACAAAUGAAACAGCAU